AAGUUAUACUGUGACACAGCCGGUCCCAAGCCCGGAUAAAGGAGGAGGGUUUGUUGUUUAUUAGCAAUGACACUUAUGUUUUUAUUUUUUGAUUCAGCUGUACUAUGUGAACUGCUUUAAAUUUGAUUAGUAUCUUCAUCAGUUCCCUUAGAUGGACUGUUUGCCAUUUUUUAAAAAAGACUUUCUAAAUCUGUUAUAUGUUUUCCUCAGUCUUACUUAUCUUUCAGGAUAUCAUAACCAAAAAAAUUGUAGAGGCAACAAAGAAUACUGCUGUAAGUUAAUGGGAAUGGAGACAACUGAUCAGAGUGUUCACUUAGAAGAAACUGGAAGACUUGAAAUGGAUGUUCGAUUCACUAGCUGCACAAUCUCAAAGCAGUGGAGAAUACAUUCUUCAUGGUUAUUAGUAUUCAAAUCAGACUAUUCUUUUUUAGAAACAUGUUGUUCUUUUUCAUUAUUUUGGUGUAUGAUUUUAUUGAGUUUUAAUUGAGAAUGUUUAUGUGGGCCUUCCAUUAAGCAUUAGUUGUGAUUGUAAUGUCUAGAGAUGUCUUGAUAUAUCUGAGGAUGAGGGUUGGUUGAGUUGGUGAAAAGAAAAAGUGAACCGUGUGUCUAAUUUUGAUGACUGAAGAAGAACCCAAGUAGUUAAAUAAAUAUAGCCUGUAUCUCUUUCUGA